GUGAGGAAUUUUCCGCAAUGGGCGAAAGCCUGACGGAGCAAUGCCGCGUGAAGGAUGAAGGCCUAUGGGUUGUAAACUUCUUUUCUCAGAAAAGAAUUAUGACGGUAUCUGAGGAAUAAGCAUCGGCUAACUCUGUGCCAGCAGCCGCGGUAAGACAGAGGAUGCAAGCGUUAUCCGGAAUGAUUGGGCGUAAAGCGUCUGUAGGUUGUUUAAAAAGUAUUCUGUCAAAGAUUAGGGCUUAAACCUAGAUAGGCAGAAUAAACUUUUAAGCUAGAGGUUGGUAGAGGCAGAGGGAAUUCCCGGUGGAGCGGUGAAAUGCGUAGAUAUCGGGAGGAACACCAAAGGCGAAGGCACUCUGCUGGGCCAAUACUAACACUGAGAGACGAAAGCGAGGGGAGCAAAUGGGAUUAGAAACCCGAGUAGUCC
rnacentral:rRNA from 1 species